rnacentral:rRNA from 1 species
AGCGAACGCUGGCGGCAAGCUUAACACAUGCAAGUCGAACGCCCCGCAAGGGGAGUGGCAGACGGGUGAGUAACACGUGGGAACGUACCCUUUGGUUCGGAAUAACUUGGGGAAACUCAAGCUAAUACCGGAUAAGCCCUUAUGGGGAAAGGUUUACUGCCGAAGGAUCAGCCCGCGUCUGAUUAGCUAGUUGGUGAGGUAAUGGCUCACCAAGGCGACGAUCAGUAGCUGGUCUGAGAGGAUGAUCAGCCACACUGGGACUGAGACACGGCCCAGACUCCUACGGGAGGCAGCAGUGGGGAAUAUUGGACAAUGGGGGCAACCCUGAUCCAGCCAUGCCGCGUGAGUGAUGAAGGCCUUAGGGUUGUAAAGCUCUUUUACCCGGGACGAUAAUGACUGUACCGGGAGAAUAAGCCCCGGCUAACUUCGUGCCAGCAGCCGCAGUAA